rnacentral:rRNA from 1 species
UACAGAGGGUGCGAGCGUUAAUCGGAAUUACUGGGCGUAAAGCGCGCGUAGGCGGCUUUGCAAGUCGGGUGUGAAAUCCCCAGGCUUAACCUGGGAACUGCAUUCGAGACUGCAUUGCUAGAGUAUGGGAGAGGGAAGUGGAAUUUCCGGUGUAGCGGUGAAAUGCGUAGAUAUCGGAAGGAACAUCAGUGGCGAAAGCGGCCAUCUGGGACAACACUGACGCUGAAGCACGAAAGCGUGGGGAGCAAACAGG